rnacentral:lncRNA from 1 species
GAAUGUCUAACCACUUUCUAGCACCAUUCUAGAUUUACUGACUGCAAACAAUACUAUAGAUGCUAAAGUGGAUCGACCAGUCAACUAUGCACACUUGCUAACUUGUUAGAAAGAACCGAAGCUAACCUCCAACACUAACCUGACUUCACUGCUUGUUUUGGGGCUUGGUAUACAUGGGAUCGGAUUUUUCAGACAAGUCUGGAAGGUAACGCCUGGUUUAGAUUAUUUAUCACAUUUUCUCUCUCUAGAUUUUGACCCUAGAUAUGUUAAAAAAAAAUGUAUAUAUAUAAUAAUAAUAAUAAUAAAAAAAAAAAAGGAAAGAUCUAUUGUUUAAUUAGGACGAGUCUGAACAGGACUUGGUGGCUAAAACCAUUAAGGCUUGAUUCAUAAAGAUUCAAAUAAAAGAGUUCGAAACGGGACUUGGAGGCGGCAAUCUUCAAGGCUCGCUUUCGCAAAGAACUCUCGGAUAUAGGUCAAAAAGAAGUGAACAGAACUUGGUGGCAACCACCAUUAAGUUUUGAUUCGUGGAAGCCUGUCCAAUUUUGGUCAUUGAUCCUGCAAUGGAAGCAGACUUUGAUCCAAGAGAGAAAUUUAGAGAGAGAGAAACUAGGAACUAACUUUUACCUGCAGCCCCAGAUACUUGUCUGAAAUCCUUGCAUCCUGUGAUCGAUACUCC